rnacentral:rRNA from 1 species
UGCCAGCCGCCGCGGUAAUACAGAGGAUGCAAGCGUUAUCCGGAAUUACUGGGCGUAAAGCGCGCGUAGGUGGUUUGCUAAGUCAGCUGUGAAAGCCCCGGGCUCAACCUGGGAACUGCAGUUGAUACUGGUCGACUAGAGUACGAGAGAGGGAGGUAGAAUUCCAUGUGUAGCGGUGAAAUGCGUAGAUAUAUGGAGGAAUACCAGCGGCGAAGGCGGCCUCCUGGCUCGAUACUGACGCUGAGGUGCGAAAGCGUGGGUAGCAAACAGGAUUAGAUA